rnacentral:rRNA from 1 species
AACAAACGCUGGCGGCGUGCCUAAUACAUGCAAGUCGAACGGGGAAAGCUUUCGGGUGAGUACUAGUGGCGCACGGGUGAGGAACGCGUGGAUAAUCUGCCUUAGAGUGGGGGAUAACUAGUCGAAAGAUUAGCUAAUACCGCAUAAGACCACAGGAGCUGCUGCUCUAGGGGUCAAAGGUUUUUCGCUCUAAGAUGAGUCCGCGUAAGAUUAGCUAGUUGGUGAGGUAACGGCUCACCAAGGCGACGAUCGUUAACUGGUCUGAGAGGAUGAUCAGUCACACUGGAACUGAGACACGGUCCAGACUCCUACGGGAGGCAGCAGUAGGGAAUAUUGCACAAUGGAGGAAACUCUGAUGCAGCGACGCCGCGUGAGUGAUGAAGGCCUUCGGGUCGUAAAGCUCUGUCGCAGGGGAAUAACACAAUGAAUGUACCCUGUAAGAAAGGAUCGGCUAACUUCGUGCCAGCAGCCGCUGUAAUAC